CCAGCAACUUGGAAGAACGUAUAACGAAUAAGUCGUAUAAAGUUCUAGGUAGAAGAAUGAUUAUGACAAUUUUUUAUCUAUAAGUCUUGACCAAAUUACGUGCCAGCAGUCGCGGCAACACGUAGAAGACUAGUGUUAUUCAUCUUUAUUAGGUUUAAAGGGUACCUAGACGGGAAAUCAAGCCAUAAUAGGGACUAAUUUUCUAGAGUUUUAUGUGAGAAGGUGCGAAUUUCCGGAGGAAAGUUGAUAUUUUGUGAUACUGGUAGGACGGGUAACGGCGAAGGCAACCUUCUAUGUAAAAACUGACGUUGAGGGACGAAGCCUUGGGUAACGAGAAGGAUUAGAUACCCUAGUAGUCCUUGGAGAAAAUUAUGAAUGUCAUAGGUUACAAGUGCGUCAGUAUAUAAUAAUGUGGUUUAUUACGGUGAUCAGGUAAUAACCUAUAUGUUCGGCAUAUAUUGUAGGUAUAGAUACGCUGAAAGGAAACAAUAUUAUAGAAAGUGAGUUAAACUAUAAACUACAAUUAAGGCUUACCACUACUGUCGAAUUUGGCCUAUAAAUGAAAGUGCAAGCAUUCCACCUCAUGAGUAAAGCGGCAACGCCCAAAUUGAAAUCAUUAGACCGUUUCUGAAACCAGUAGUGAAGUAUGUUAUUUAAUUCGAUGAUCCGCGAAUAACCUUACCACAUUAUGCAUUGAAUAUUAUUCAAUUAUUACAAGCGCUGCACGGCUGUCUUCAGUUAAUGUCGUGAG
rnacentral:rRNA from 1 species